rnacentral:rRNA from 1 species
AUACGUAGGGGGCGAGCGUUAUCCGGAAUUAUUGGGCGUAAAGGGUUCGCAGGCGGCCUUGUAAGUCAGAUGUGAAAGACAGCGGCUUAACCGUUGUAAGCAUUUGAAACUGCAGGGCUUGAGUACAGGAGAGGAAAGCGGAAUUCCUAGUGUAGCGGUGAAAUGCGUAGAUAUUAGGAGGAACACCAGUGGCGAAGGCGGCUUUCUGGACUGAUACUGACGCUGAGGAACGAAAGCGUGGGGAGCAAACAGGAUUAGAUACCCUGGUAGUCCACGCUGUAAACGAUGAGUGCUAGGUGUUGGGGGUCGAACCUCAGUGCCGCAGUAAACGCAUUAAGCACUCCGCCUGGGGAGUACGGUCGCAAGACUGAA